GAUGAAGAACGCAGCGAAAUGCGAUAAGUAGUGUGAAUUGCAGAAUUCAGUGAAUCAUCGAAUCUUUGAACGCACAUUGCGCCCUCUGGUAUUCCGGAGGGCAUGCCUGUCCGAGCGUCAUUGCUGCCCUCAAGCACGGCUUGUGUGUUGGGCCUCCGUCCUCCUCCCGGGGGACGGGCCCGAAAGGCAGCGGCGGCACCGCGUCCGGUCCUCGAGCGUAUGGGGCUUCGUCACCCGCUCUUGUAGGCCCGGCCGGCGCUUGCCGACACAUCAAUCUUUUUUCCAGGUUGACCUCGGAUCAGGUAGGGAUACCCGCUGAACUUAAGCAUAUCAAUAAGCGGAGGA
rnacentral:misc_RNA from 1 species